AAUAACCAAAUAUAACACUUGGGCUAAGGGUCAAGUUAGUAAUUUUUCUUACAUCUCCCCCUCCAGGAGCCCAGGUAUCAUAUACGCCCCCAAAAAAAAGAGCCUUAAAUACUAAAAGAAAAGCACCGAUACCUAACAAGAUUAAGUGAAUCCCCAAAAUUGUGGUCAUUUUAUUUCUAUCUUUCCA
rnacentral:antisense_RNA from 12 species